GGGGUGGUGGCUCACCGGUAGAGCGCUCUCCUAGCAUGUGCGAGGCCCUGGGUUUGAUCCUCAGCACUCCA
rnacentral:tRNA from 1 species